rnacentral:lncRNA from 1 species
CGUGAGGAAAAUGCUGCGCAACACCAGCGCCUCCUCUUUUUAAAAGGCUAAGGUGCCGUUGGCCCUCACCUGCAUUCGCACGUUUAUUAUCUUGGCGCGAACUCAAAGGCAAGCCCCGACAACAGUAAAUGAAGAAAACCUCCAUGGAUAUUACAUCUCAAUGGAUCCUACGAUCAAUGUCCAGACGGGCUGCAGCAGGCAAGUCGAAAUCAAGCGAGCCUGCAAUUUCGCCCAAGAAGGCAGCGAGGAAGGGUCGCUGUGAACAAGCCAAGCCUUUAGUUAAACAACAGCCUUGCAAACAAGAUUGCAGGACAGGCUUGACAAGCCAAGAUACAGAGCCCAAAGCAAGUGGAUCUACAGAGACACUUCCAGUUAUUACAGCCCGAAAGGGCACCCAAAAGUAUAACGCCCAACUCAAGAAGCUGGUAGAUGCACUGGCGGCAAAGGAAGCUUGCGAUGACAUGUAUCAGUCGCAGGUGUUGAAACAAAACAUCCCUGAUGACUUUUUUGGGGAAGCGGGGCGAGAUGAGGUGUUCAAUAUCGACGUAACAAACAUGAAAACGCCUCCACUCUUUUCGCCAGCCAUUACAUCGCCGAACGCCCGAUUCUCUUUUCGAAGUUCUCCUAGUGAGCCAUCAGGAUCGCAAGAAGCAGCAGUUGCCAUCACGCAGGGCCUCCGUAAGCAAGAUCAUGCUACCACGUUGGAGUCGGAUACACCAAAGCGUAAAUUUAUAAAAAAAAAACUUGUGGCUCGAAAUUGGCAUAAACUGGAAAUAGUCUGAGAAAAAAGAGCUAAAAGAAAACUGCGAAGAUUCUAAUAAGGAAGUGGAGGACACAAAUGCUGAGAUUUGUGAAGAUGAACAAAAUUUUUUUUAAUAUAUUAAAGUUUUGCAUCAGUGUAAAUUUAACUUUUACCUUUUAUCUUUUAACUUGACUUUCUUUCUUAGCAGCAUUAGCAGAUAAAGUUGAGUGAUCUUAACAUCAAGAGUUUUUGCCCACAAAUUUUGAGGCUAUGAAAAGCCUGCUGUAAGCUUCCUGUGAAUGCAAUAAUGCUCAUUGAACAUUCGGACACAGGAAACAUUUCGAAGACAUUUUAGUUUGCUCCUAAAGAGCACCUAAAUGCACAUUCUCAUGAUCGAGACCAAUUGCUAGUGCAUCCAACCUUGACGAAGUGUCAUGCUUCUUGAUCUGGGUCUCGGGAACGGUUUGGCUUCGCACAUCAGCUUCAACCAACGGCGGCGUCAUGACAGUCCCCCAGGCUUCAAAUGCGGUCGAAAAACCGUAAAGUCCGCUUGGUCUCGCGUCUAAAGGUCCUGUCUCCCGGGUUUCGGCACCAAAAUGUAGAGAAAAGGAUGAGCCGCCGUGCCCAUGGCGAAUCCCACCCAUCGACCUUCUUUUUAUUCCAAACACAGGUAUCAUCCCCUAGUGAUGAUACGCGACUAUUUUCGUCGUUCACACAGUAUUCAACAAUAGCUAUGUAAGAAGCUCAACGAAGGCUUGCGACUGCAUACCAGAUUAGUGAAGUAGGUGAGCUUUGCACUAGAAUAGUGGCCAAGCCAGCAAAGCAUCGGUUGCUACAUCACUCACCAGAUUUUAGUCAACUACAGGCAAUGUGAUUUGCAUCUUAGCACGAUCCUGUAAAUACGCUCGGCAUGCCCAAUUGCUGAAGGCAUCCCAACCAUUCACAGGUAUGGUCGAUCACUUAUGGCAACCAUCCCUAUUUACUAUUGUUGGCUAGACUUCUGCCAGCGCAAAGUUGAAGACCGAGUGAGCUUUCAUGAGUUGCCUCAAGACGAGGAACAAAGCAGUUGCUGUAGAGCCUUUGUUUGGGCUAUCAGGUGGUGCCACUGAACACAGGGGAGUCUAGCUUUUGUGCUCUUUGCACUUCUGCGUCGACACUUAUCCGAGCAUUCGGCCAGGUUCGGCAUUCCCAAGAGGUGUGUGUAGAUGUUGGUGCUAUGCCAAGAAUGCAUCCUGCUACUGCACAGAGCCUGCUGAGGUUCGAAAGCAGAGCAACUGCACCAAAGUAUCAGUGCCUGGCUGACUUUGGCAGAGAUGUCGUUCAUCUCUGCGAGGAAACAAUCAUGGAAGAUACAUAUUUGGGCACAGUGAAAACGCAGACAGGCUACAAGUCUGAACUGCCGACGGAAAGCAGCAGUGAGCUAUGAAGCACUCGAAACCAAGGAAAGGAAGCCCUGUGGCUUGUCCAGUCAAAGAGUCCGCAACGUAUGGGAACACCUUUACUACCACAAUCGACGAAAUUGCCAGGAUGCCUAGCCGCAACUCUUCGAUCACGGUGGAGGUCGUCGAGGCCACCGUCGCCGAGCGUGCGUAUCGUGAGCGAGUCGUCGAGGCCUCCGUCGUCGAGUGUGUGCAUCGUCGCCAAGUGUGUGCUGCGCCAGUCGCCCGAUGACGUGUGCAUAGUGACGGAGGAGAGGCCGCCGUCACCCGGCGUAUGCACUGUCACCAAGACACGCAGGUGUACGUCUUCCGCCCGGGUGGAGUUCAUCGAUACACCCAAGAGCUCAUCAUCCUCGAGUGCCAUCAUCCAGGAGCACAUGAUGCAGGCCUGCUUCCCGCCUGUUGCACUUGCUGGCUAGGGAAACCUGCGGGUGGUCGCGCAGUUGUGGGCACAUACCUCGCCUGCACAGUGCGAGAAGACUCGCGCAUAUAAAGGAGGCCUUCAAAUUUCCUUAAACUGAAAAAUAAAAUUGUGGUGCAAUUGU